rnacentral:rRNA from 1 species
AGCGAACGCUGGCGGCAGGCCUAACACAUGCAAGUCGAGCGCCCCGCAAGGGGAGCGGCAGACGGGAGAGUAACACGUGGGAACGUACCCUUCAGCUCGGAACAACCAAGGGAAACUUUGGCUAAUACCGAAUACGUCCGUAAGGAGAAAGAUUUAUCGCUGAAGGAUCGGCCCGCGUCUGAUUAGCUAGUUGGUGGGGUAAUGGCCCACCAAGGCGACGAUCAGUAGCUGGUCUGAGAGGAUGAUCAGCCUCACUGGGACUGAGACACGGCCCAGACUCCUACGGGAGGCAGCAGUGGGGAAUAUUGGACAAUGGGCGCAAGCUUGAUCCAGCCAUGCCGCGUGGAUGAUGAAGGCCCUAGGGUUGUAAAGUCCUUUCGGCGGGGAAGAUAAUGACGGUACCCGCAGAAGAAGCCCCGGCUAACUUCGUGCCAGCCGCCGCCGUAACAC